GAUCCUGGCUCAGGAUGAACGCUAGCUACAGGCUUAACACAUGCAAGUCGAGGGGCAGCAUGAACUUAGCUUGCUAAGUUUGAUGGCGACCGGCGCACGGGUGAGUAACACGUAUGCAAUCCACCUGUAACAGGGGGAUAACCCGGAGAAAUCCGGACUAAUACCCCAUAAUAUGGACGCUCCGCAUGGAGAGCCCAUUAAAGAGAGCAAUUUUGGUUACAGACGAGCAUGCG
rnacentral:rRNA from 1 species